rnacentral:rRNA from 1 species
GUGGCCAGCCGCCGCGGUAAUACGGAGGGUGCAAGCGUUGUCCGGAAUCACUGGGCGUAAAGGGUGCGCAGGCGGGGCAGCAAGUCGGAGGUGAAAGCCCAUGGCUCAACCAUGGAAGUGCCUUCGAAACUGUUGCUCUCGAGUCCCGGAGAGGCUGUCGGAAUUCGUGGUGUAGCGGUGAAGUGCGUAGAUAUCACGAGGAACACCAGAGGCGAAAGCGGACAGCUGGACGGGUACUGACGCUCAGGCACGAAAGCGCGGGGAGCAAACAGGAUUAGAAACCCCGGUAGUCC